ACGAACGCUGGCGGCGUGCUUAACACAUGCCAGUCGCACGGAAAGGCCUUUUCGGAGGUACUCGAGUGGCGAACGGGUGAGUAACACGUGGGUGAUCUGCCCUGCACUCUGGGAUAAGCCUGGGAAACUGGGUCUAAUACCGGAUAGGACCGCACUUUAGUGUGUGUGGUGGAAAGUUUUUUCGGUGUAGGAUGAGCCCGCGGCCUAUCAGCUUGUUGGUGGGGUAAUGGCCUACCAAGGCGGCGACGGGUAGCCGGACUGAGAGGUUGGUCGGCCACAUUGGGACUGAGAUACGGCCCAGACUCCUACGGGAGGCAGCAGUGGGGAAGAUUGCACAAUGGGCGCAAGCCUGAUGCAGCGACGCCGCGUGGGGGAUGACGGCCUUCGGGUUGUAAACUCCUUUCGCCAGGGACGAAGCGUUUUGUGACGGUACCUGGAGAAGAAGCACCGGCUAACUACGUG
rnacentral:rRNA from 1 species